AUUGAACGCUGGCGGCAGGCCUAACACAUGCAAGUCGAACGAGUGGCGGACGGGUGAGUAAUGUAUGGGGAUCUGCCUGAUGGAGGGGGAUAACUACUGGAAACGGUAGCUAAUACCGCAUACCAUCAGAUGAACCCAUAUGGGAUUAUCUUGUUGGUGGGGUAACGGCCCACCAAGGCGACGACCCCUAGCUGGUCUGAGAGGAUGAUCAGCCACCCGGGGACGGAGACACGGUCCAGACUCCUACGGGAGGCAGCAGUGGGGAAUAUUGCACAAUGGGCGCAAGCCGUAUGCAGCCAUGCCGCGUGUAUGAAGAAGGCCUUCGGGUUGUAAAGUACUUUCAGUCGGGAGGCGUUACCGACAGAAGAAGCACCGGCUAACUCCGUGCCAGCAGCCGCGGUAAUAC
rnacentral:rRNA from 1 species